AGGGUUCCUCGUUGCUUAAGACCGGCGGCGGAUUGUAAACUUCUUUGGUCCGGGACGAAACGGUCCUGGUUAAUAUCUGGUGCUAAUGACGGUACCUGAAGAAUAAGCACCGGCUAACUACGUGCCAGCAGCCGCGGUAAUACGUAGGGUGCAAGCGUUAAUCGGAAUUACUGGGCGUAAAGCGUGCGCAGGCGGUUAUGUAAGACAGAUGUGAAAUCCCCGGGCUCAACCUGGGAACUGCGUUUGAGACUGCAUGGCUAGAGUGUGUCAGAGGGGGAUAGAAUUCCACGUGUAGCAGUGAAAUGCGUAGAUAUGUGGAGGAAUACCGAUGGCGAAGGCAAUCCCCUGGGCUUGCACUGACGCUCAUGCACGAAAGCGUGGGGAGCAAACAGGAUUAGAUACCCUGGUAGUCCACGCCCUAAACGAUGUCUACUGGUUGUCGGGUCUCAACUGACUCAGUAACGCAGCUAACGCGUGAAGUAGACCGCCUGGGGAGUACGGCCGCAAAGUUAAACUCAAA
rnacentral:rRNA from 1 species